rnacentral:tRNA from 1 species
GCCAGUGUAGCUCAGGGGUAGAGCGGCGCUUUUGUAAAGCGUUGGUCAGGGGUUCGAAUCCUCUCACUGGCUCCA